rnacentral:rRNA from 1 species
GUUUGAUUAUGGCUCAGGAUGAACGCUAGCGGCAGGCUUAACACAUGCAAGUCGAGGGGUAACAGGGUAGCAAUACCGCUGACGACCGGCGAACGGGUGAGUAACGCGUAUGCAACCUACCCAUAACUUGAGAAUAGCCCGGAGAAAUUCGGAUUAAUGCUCAAUAAUAUUUUUGGAGAGGCAUCUCUCUGAUCUUAAAGCUCAGGCGGUUAUGGAUGGGCAUGCGUGCCAUUAGUUUGUUGGUGAGGUAACGGCUCACCAAGUUGACUAUGAUGGCUAGGGGGUCUAAAAGGAUAAUCCCCCACACUGGUACUGAGACACGGACCAGACUCCUACGGGAGGCAGCAGUGAGGAAUAUUGGUCAAUGGAGGCAACUCUGAACCAGCCAUGCCGCGUGAAGGAUGAAGGCGCUACGCGUUGUAAACUUCUUUUGUACGGGAAGAAACCUCUCUACGUGUAGGGAGCUGACGGUACCGUAGGAAUAAGCAUCGGCUAACUCCGUGCCAGCAGCUGC